UUAUAUGGAUUGCAGUUUAAGAAAAAUUUUCUGUCGCCUUAACCCUAAGUUCUUAAGCAAUAUGUCUUUAGGCCAUUGCUCAAUUAAAUUGGGGCGCUAGCCGCAACAAGUGUUGUUAUGUAGCAAAACUUUUUUAUAAGUAAAGCUAAAAGUCCAGGAAAACAUAUUAGACAUCUAGGCUUUAGUCUCUCUUGCCGUAAAAUAUUUACAGAGGAUCUAUCUGGCGCUGAUAAGGAACAGAGAAAAGCGAAGAACUGUAAAUCUAAACCUUACUUAAAAGUGAAAGCUCCUGCCAAGUGGAAAGAAGUUAGAAUUACUAUGAACAUCCAGCAACACGACCUUCAAGUAAAGGCAGAGUAAUAUUCUGAACAGUUGUUUUCUAUCCUUUAAGGUGUUUUACACUUUACACAAAACUGUGCAGUAAAAUGAAAUUCUUUUUUGAUAAGGGCCUUAAAGUUCAUCUUUCUAUGAAAAAAGAUAAAAGGGAAAGUUUUCAUGAUCCCAAAGUAAAGCAAGUUGUAAAUAGACUCUGCGAUUUGGUUAAAGAUUACGGAAAGCUGGUUUCAGAACCUCAAGUUAAAGCCCCUUACAAGACUCCGGAGGGACGUCUUGUGGUGCAACAAACCAUCACUUGGGACUUUCACCCUCUAGUAAAAAUAAAAGAAAGGCCCUCUUGAAUGGCAAGACUUUUGUUUUAUAAAAAAAAUGUGUUUGCAUAUUA